rnacentral:rRNA from 1 species
UACGUAGGGCGCAAGCGUUGUCCGGAAUUAUUGGGCGUAAAGAGCUCGUAGGCGGCCUGUUGCGUCCGCUGUGAAAUCCCGGGGCUCAACCCCGGGCCUGCAGUGGAUACGGGCUGGCUGGAGGCAGGCAGGGGAGAACGGAAUUCCUGGUGUAGCGGUGAAAUGCGCAGAUAUCGGGAGGAACACCAAUGGCGAAGGCAGCUCGCUGGGACGGUACUGACGCUGAGGCGCGAAAGCGUGGGGAGCAAACAGG